GAUGAACGCUGGCGGCGUGCUUAACACAUGCAAGUCGAGCGGACAGGCCCUGCUUGUACGGUACUCGAGUGGCGAACGGGCGAGUAACACGUGGGUGAUCUACCCUGCUCUUAGGGUUAAGUCUGGGCAAGUAGGUCUAAUUCAUGCCGGGAGCUAUUUUGAGCCUGAUGGUUGGAAAGUUUAAUCGGUGUUGGAUGAGCUUGCGGCCUAUCUGCUUGCUGGUGGGGUUAUGGGCUACCAAGGCGGCGUCGGGUAGCCGGCCUGAGAGGGUGGACGGCCACAUUGGGACUGAGGGACGGCCCAGACACCUACGGGAGGCAGCAGUGGGGAAUAUUGCACAAGGGGCGCAAGCCUGAUGCAGCGACGCCGCGUGGGGGAUGACGGCCUUCGGGUUGUAAACUCCUUUCGCUAGGGACGAAGCUUUUUGUGACGGUACCUAGAUAAGAAGCACCGGCUAACUACGUG
rnacentral:rRNA from 1 species